GGAUCAACUGUAUUUUGGCAUUGAUGGGUGUCUGUUCAUUUGUUUAUUUGUUCAAAUGUAUUUGCAUUAGACCUGGGUUUCAAUUCAGGUUCAAGCAAUAUAAUCUGGGUGUCUUAGGCUGAUUACUUAACCUCUCUGAACUUCCAUUUCUUCGCCUGUAAAAUGUGGGUGAUUCCUACCUUAUAAACGAGAUAAUGUAUUGAAAUCACCUGGUCCAUAACAAAUACUUGGUAAAUAAUAAUAAUUACUGUCAUUAUGGAAGGGUCGGGGGCUGAAAAGGUCUGAGUGAUCGAAUAUAUCUUCUGCCUCAAAAAGCGGUUAAGAAUUUAGAGACGCUUCCUCCUAUUCCCGAACAGGGGAUUGUAAAUGCCUGAGUUAUAAAAUGAGGAACGGGAGAGGUCGGGUGUUUAUGGUAUCACAGCCGAGAGAGGCUUUCCACAAACGUUAUCUCGGGCCCCUGAUUCUACAGUGGAGGUGGUGCCUCAGAGCCACUGAUCCUGUCGGUUAAGAGGAACAAAUAUAAUCACCCCGUUUCUGUAGAUUAAAAAAAAAAAAUCGAAGCCCAGAGAGAUAAAACCGCUUGUCAGGAUUGCAUAGUCGGGAAAAGGCAGAGGUGACCUUGAACUCGGGUUCCUGACUGCCACUCGCAAGCUAUUUUUAAUUUUAGCACAUUUCCUCUAAAAAGGCUGUUGGGAAAAUUAGGCAAAGUGCGCGAUACCGAGGCGGGUGGAGGAAGAGAGGAUGAGAGGCAGUUGGUGGAGAUUAAAGCUGACAUUGCACUGCAGGGUCACAUGGCAGAGGAGGAAUGAAUAAUCGAGAAUAAUCCCAGUUGGCGCAUAUGCUAACUCGCUUUUCUCACUUAAGAGAUGUUGCUGAUGGAAACGUCUGGAGUUCAGUAGUGAUUCAUCUGACGUAUUCUUUUAAACAGUUGUGUGGUACUCCAUGUUCAUAUGAUGAAUGCUA